CGGACGGCUCAGUAACACGUAGUCAACCUAACUCGUGGACGUGGAUAACCUCGGGAAACUGAGAAUAAACCACGAUAGAUCAUAGUGCCUGGAAUGGCUUAUGGUCCAAACAGUUUACUGCCAUGGGAUGGGACUGCGGCCUAUCAGCUUGUUGGUGAGGUAAUGGCCCACCAAGGCGAUUACAGGUACGGGCUCUGAGAGGAGAAGCCCGGAGAUGGGUACUGAGACACGGACCCAGGCCCUAUGGGGCGCAGCAGGCGAGAAACCUUAGCAAUGUGCGAAAGCACGACUGGGUCAGUCCGAGUGAUUCCUGAUAAAGGAGUCUUUUGCUUGUCCUAAAAGCACAGGUGAAUAAGGGGUGGGCAAGUCUGGUGUCAGCCGCCGCGGUAAUACCAGCACCUCGAGUGGUCAGGACGUUUAUUGGGCCUAAAGCAUCCGUAGCCGGCUUUGCAAGUCUUCGGUUAAAUCCACCUGCUCAACAGAUGGGCCGCUGGAGAUACUACAAAGCUAGGGAGUGGGAGAGGCAGACGGUAUUCAGUGGGUAGGGGUAAAAUCCUCUGAUCCAUUGAGGACCACCAGUGGCGAAGGCGGUCUGCCAGAACACGUUCGACGGUGAAGGAUGAAAGCUGGGGGAGCAAACC
rnacentral:rRNA from 1 species